AAGUCGUAACAAGGUCUCCGUAGGUGAACCUGCGGAAGGAUCAUUCAUAAUAAGUGUUCUACUGCACUUUUUUAAAAAUAGUACUCACCUUGUGUGCAAUGUUGUGUGGAGUCCUCUUUUGAAGACUUCACACCUACACCAACCUUUAAUUUGAACCACUUUGUCUGAAAAAACUAUUAUGAAUACUUAAUUCAAAAUACAA
rnacentral:misc_RNA from 1 species